UCCGGCCUACACAUGCAAGUCGAACGGUAACAGGAAGCAGCUUGCUGCUUCGCUGACGAGUGGCGGACGGGUGAGUAAUGUCUGGGAAACUGCCCGAUGGAGGGGGAUAACUACUGGAAACGGUAGCUAAUACCGCAUAACGUCGCAAGACCAAAGAGGGGGACCUUCGGGCCUCUUGCCAUCGGAUGUGCCCAGAUGGGAUUAGCUUGUUGGUGAGGUAACGGCUCACCAAGGCGACGAUCCCUAGCUGGUCUGAGAGGAUGACCAGCCACACUGGAACUGAGACACGGUCCAGACUCCUACGGGAGGCAGCAGUGGGGAAUAUUGCACAAUGGGCGCAAGCCUGAUGCAGCCAUGCCGCGUGUAUGAAGAAGGCCUUCGGGUUGUAAAGUACUUUCAGCGGGGAGGAAGGUGUUGUGGUUAAUAACCUCAGCAAUUGACGUUACCCGCAGAAGAAGCACCGGCUAACUCCGUGCCAGCAGCCGCGGUAAUACGGAGGGUGCAAGCGUUAAUCGGAAUUACUGGGCGUAAAGCGCACGCAGGCGGUCUGUCAAGUCGGAUGUGAAAUCCCCGGGCUCAACCUGGGAACUGCAUUCGAAACUGGCAGGCUUGAGUCUCGUAGAGGGGGGUAGAAUUCCAGGUGUAGCGGUGAAAUGCGUAGAGAUCUGGAGGAAUACCGGUGGCGAAGGCGGCCCCCUGGACGAAGACUGACGCUCAGGUGCGAAAGCGUGGGGAGCAAACAGGAUUAGAUACCCUGGUAGUCCACGCCGUAGACGAUGUCUAUUUGGAGGUUGUGCCCUUGAGGCGUGGCUUCCGGAGCUAACGCGUUAAAUAGACCGCCUGGGGAGUACGGCCGCAAGGUUAAAACUCAAAUGAAUUGACGGGGGCCCGCACAAGCGGUGGAGCAUGUGGUUUAAUUCGAUGCAACGCGAAGAACCUUACCUGGUCUUGACAUCCACAGAACUUUGCAGAGAUGCAAAGGUGCCUUCGGGAACUGUGAGACAGGUGCUGCAUGGCUGUCGUCAGCUCGUGUUGUGAAAUGUUGGGUUAAGUCCCGCAACGAGCGCAACCCUUAUCCUUUGUUGCCAGCGGUCCGGCCGGGAACUCAAAGGAAACUGCCAGUGAUAAACUGGAGGAAGGUGGGGAUGACGUCAAGUCAUCAUGGCCCUUACGACCAGGGCUACACACGUGCUACAAUGGCAUAUACAAAGAGAAGCGACCUCGCGAGAGCAAGCGGACCUCAUAAAGUAUGUCGUAGUCCGGAUUGGAGUCUGCAACUCGACUCCAUGAAGUCGGAAUCGCUAGUAAUCGUGGAUCAGAAUGCCACGGUGAAUACGUUCCCGGGCCUUGUACACACCGCCCGUCACACCAUGGGAGUGGGUUGCAAAAGAAGUAGGUAGCUUAACCUUCGGGAGGGCGCUUACCACUUUGUGAUUCAUGACUGGGGUGAAGUUCCGUAUCAAGUAA
rnacentral:rRNA from 1 species